rnacentral:rRNA from 1 species
UGAGGAAUAUUGGUCAAUGGACGCAAGUCUGAACCAGCCAAGUAGCGUGCAGGAUGACGGCCCUAUGGGUUGUAACUGCUUUUAUAUGGGGAUAAAGUGGGGAAAGUGUUCCCUUUUGCAGGUACCAUAUGAAUAAGGACCGGCUAAUUCCGUGCCAGCAGCCGCGGUAAUACGGAAGGUUCGGGCGUUAUCCGGAUUUAUUGGGUUUAAAGGGAGCGUAGGCCGUUUGGUAAGCGUGUUGUGAAAUGUAGGAGCUCAACUUCUAGAUUGCAGCGCGAACUGUCAGACUUGAGUGCGCACAACGUAGGCGGAAUUCAUGGUGUAGCGGUGAAAUGCUUAGAUAUCAUGAAGAACUCCGAUUGCGAAGGCAGCUUACGGGAGCGCAACUGACGCUGAAGCUCGAAGGUGCGGGUAUCGAACAGG